GAUUAACGCUAGCGGCAGGCCUAAUACAUGCAAGUCGAACGGCAGCACGGGUAGCAAUACCUGGUGGCGAGUGGCGCACGGGUGCGUAACACGUAUGCAAUCUACCUUUAACUGGGGAAUAACCCCUCGAAAGAGGGGCUAAUACCGCAUAACACUUCGAUGGGACAUCCCAAUGAAGUCAAACCUACGGGGGUUAAAGAUGAACAUGCGUCCGAUUAGCUAGUUGGCGAGGAACGGCUCACCAAGGCAACGAUCGGUAGGGGAUCUGAGAGGAUGAUCCCCCACACUGGUACUGAGACACGGGACCAGACUCCUACGGGAGGCAGCAGUAAGGAAUAUUGGACAAUGGGCGCAAGCCUGAUCCAGCCAUGCCGCGUGCAGGAUGAAAGUGCUAUGCACU
rnacentral:rRNA from 1 species